AGCGGCGUAAGGGGCAGUAAUACCUGGGAACGUACCCUUUGGUCGGGGAUAGCUGCUGGAAACGGCGAGUAAUACCCGAUGAACUCGAGAGAGCAGAGGCUUGCCGCCGGAGGAGCGGCCCAGGCGAUAUUAGCUAGUUGGUGGGGUAAUGGCCUACCAAGGCUUAGAUGUCUAGCGGGUGUGAGAGCACGACCCGCGCCACUGGCACUGAGACACUGGCCAGACACCUACGGGUGGCUGCAGUCGAGAAUCUUCGGCAAUGGGCGCAAGCCUGACCGAGCGACGCCGCGUGCGGGAUGAAGGCCUUCGGGUUGUAAACCGCUUUGGUCCGAGAGAAAGGGCAACUUGAUCGAUCGGAGAAACAAGGACGGGCUAAGUUCGUGCCAGCAGCCGCGGUAAGACGAACCGUCCAAACGUUAUUCGGAAUCACUGGGCUUAAAGGGCGCGUAGGCGGCCGAGCGGGUCGCGGGUGAAAUCCCCCAGCUUAACUGGGGAACUGCCCUCGAUACCACUGCGGCUCGAGGAAGGAAGGGGUCAUGGGAACUGUCGGUGGAGCGGUGAAAUGCGUUGAUAUCGACAGGAACGCCUGUGGCGAAAGCGCAUGACUGGUCCUUUUCUGACGCUGAGGCGCGAAAGCCAGGGGAGCAAACGGGAUUAGAUACCCCGGUAGUCCUGGCCUUAAACGAUGAGAACUAGGUAG
rnacentral:rRNA from 1 species